AUCGCUUCCUGGCUCUUUGAGCUGUGGUCCAAGUGUAGUAUCUGUUCUUAUCAGUUUAAUAUCUGAUAUGUUCUCGAUGUGAGAACUUUAUAUUAAAUGGAUUUUUAGACAAGUUAGAUAUUUUCAAGUCACCAGGGCCUGAUGAAAUGGAUCCUCGAAUACUCAAGAAUCUGAGUGAGGAGUUAUCUCAAUCAUU